GAGGCUGAGGCCAUGGGCGGAAUGGUCAUAAUCGCUGCCAGUCUCAGUCCAGCCCCAGGGACUCAGAGACAGAGAAAAGAGCAGUGCACAAGGUCCAGGCUCCCCACCUUCUCCCGUGAGUAUGGGGGAGUAUGGGGGCAGCCACCACCCCCAUCCCCACACACCCAUGAGGCAGCCUCGGCUGUGUGUGGACUCCCCCUCGCCCUCUGACACAGAAACCACCAGAAGAAAAGGGAACUUCAGGAAGUAAGCAGUGCCACCAGUUUCAAUCCUGUUCUUAGUCUUUGCAGUGUGGAGUUCACACCCCUGGGGACCUGGGGGCCGAGCUGUAAUUUCCUAGGAAGACAAAUAGCGGCUGACGGCGGGGGCGGGGCUGCCCACACCUGCCACACCAGAUCAGGAAGGGCUGAGACCCCCCACCUCGAUGAGUGGGGUCAGCACAGGGCAGGGCACAGGCUCGGGACGAGAAGGACAGAGCCUGGGCACAGCCGUGGGCACUCCUGGGCCUCAGCUGCUGAACAGGCUGCAAGAGGCUGGGGAGACGCUGGGGCGAGGCCAGCCCCACAUGUAGGCCCAAGCAGAGCCAGCACGGGGGAGGUGGGCAGCCUUCAGGCACCGAUGCCCACCCAGUGCGAGACAACAAGGCCCGUGGGCAGAGGCUUCCAAGCCAACAGGGCAGGACACACCAGAGGCUGACUGAGGCCUCCAGGACGACCGGGCUGGGAGCACAAGGAACAUGACGGGAUGUGGCAGAGCCAGCUGUGGGUAAUGCCAGGAUGGGCAGGACCAACCUGAGAUGAGGAGGCAGCAGAGCGAGAGAGGAGCAGAGGCCCCAGGUGAACGGAGGGGCUUGUCCAGGCCGGCAGCAUCACCGGAGCCCAGGGCAGGGUCAGCAGUGCUGGCCGUGGCGCCCUCCUCUCAGCCAGGACCAAGGGCAGCCUCCACCAAGGGCCCAUCGGUCUUCCCCCUGGCGCCCUCCUCCAGGAGCACUUCUGAGAGCACAGCGGCCCUGGGCUGCCUGGUCAAGGACUACUUCCCCGAACCGGUGACCGUGUCGUGGAACUCAGGCGCCCUGACCAGCGGCGUGCACACCUUCCCGGCUAUCCUACAGUCCUCAGGGCUCUACUCCCUCAGCAGCGUGGUGACCGUGCCCUCCAGCAGCUUGGGCACCCAGACCUACAUCUGCAACGUAGAUCACAAGCCGAGCAACACCAAGGUGGACAAGAGAGUUGAGCCCAAAACCCAAUGUUGUGACACAACUCACACAUGCCCACCGUGCCCAGCACCUGAACUCCUGGGGGGACCGUCAGUCUUCCUCUUCCCCCCAAAACCCAAGGACACCCUCAUGAUCUCCCGGACCCCUGAGGUCACGUGCGUGGUGGUGGACGUGAGCCAGGAAGACCCCGAGGUCCAGUUCAACUGGUACGUGGACGGUGUGGAGGUGCACAAUGCCAAGACAAAGCCGCGGGAGCAGCAGUUCAACAGCACGUUCCGUGUGGUCAGCGUCCUCACCGUCGGGCACCAGGACUGGCUGAACGGCAAGGAGUACAAGUGCAAGGUCUCCAACAAAGGCCUCCCAGCCCCCAUCGAGAGAACCAUCUCCAAACCCAAAGGGCAGCCCCGAGAGCCACAGGUGUACACCCUGUCCCCGUCCCGGGAUGAGAUGACCAAGAACCAGGUCAGCCUGACCUGCCUGGUCAAAGGCUUCUACCCCAGCGACAUCGCCGUGGAGUGGGAGAGCAGCGGGCAGCCGGAGAACAACUACAAGACCACGCCUCCCGUGCUGGACUCUGACGGCUCCUACUUCCUCUACAGCAAGCUCACCGUGGACAAGAGCAGGUGGCAGCAGGGGAACGUCUUCUCAUGCUCCGUGAUGCAUGAGGCUCUGCACAACCACUACACGCAGAAGAGCCUCUCCCUGUCUCCGGAGCUGCAACUGGAGGAGAGCUGUGUGGAGGCGCAGGACGGGGAGCUGGACGGGCUGUGGACGACCAUCAGCAUCUUCAUCACACUCUUCCUACUAAGCGUGUGCUACAGUGCCACCGUCACCUUCUUCAAGGUGAAGUGGAUCUUCUCCUCGAUGGUGGACCUGAAGCAGACCAUCAUCCCCGACUACAGGAACAUGAUCAGGCAGGAGGCCUAGGGCCACCCUCUGCAGGGUGUCCAGGGCUGCCCAGACCCUACACAGGAGCCAUGGGCCAUGCUCAGCCACCACCCAGGCCACACCUGCCCCCUGACCUCACUGCCCUCAACCCCAUGGCUCUCUGGCCUCACAGUCGCCCUCUGACCCUGCCACACCUGACACACCCCCCUUCCAGACCCUGUGCAUAGCAGGUCUACCCCAGAUCUCCGCUGCUUGGUGCCUGCAGGGCGCUGGGGGCCAGGUGUCCCCUCAGCAGGACAUCCCUGCCCUCCGGCCCGCCAGGUGCUCACACAAAAGGAGGCAGCGACCGGCAUGCCAGGCCCCCACCCACGCAGGAGCUGGCCCUGGAGCCAACCCCGUCCACACCAGCCUCCUGAACACAGGCGUGGUUUCCAGAUGGUGAGUGGGAGCAUCAGCCGCCAAGGUAGGGAAGCCACAGCACCAUCAGGCCUGUUGGGAGGCUUCGGGGAGCUGCGAAGGCUCACUCAGACGGCCUUCCUCCCAGCCCCCAGCCAGCCAGCCUCCAUUCCAGGCACUCCCGUGAACUCCUGACAUGAGGAAUGAGGUUGUUCUUAUUUCAAGCAAAGAACGCUGCUCUCUGGCUCCUUGGAACAGUCUCGGUGCCAGCACCACCCCUUGGCUGCCUGCCCACACUGCUGGAUUCUCGGGAGGAACUCAACCCACAGGGACAGCCAGCCCCAGAGUCUGCACUGGGAAGAGAAGGGGCCAGGCCCAGGACACUGCCACCUCCCACCCGCUCCACUCCACUGAGAUCACUCAGAGAAGAGCCUGGGCCAUGGGGCCGCUGUAGAGCCCCAGAGUGCAAGGGUGAGGAGAGCCCAAGGAAGGGGCAUCUGCCCAGACAGGCCUCCCAGAGAAGGUCCCAGGCGGGCAAGACUCAGCCUUGGUGGGGCCUGAGGACAGAGGAGGCCCAGGAGCACGGGGGAGAGAGGUGGAGGGACACCAGGAGAGCCAGGAGCGUGGACACAGCCAGAACUCAUCACAGAGGCUGGCGUCCAGCCCCAGGUCAGGUGCAGCAGGAACAAGCAGCCACUCUGGGGGCACGAGGUGGAGAGGCGAGACGACAAAGAGGGUGCCCGUGUUCUUGCGAAAGCGGGUCUGCUGGCCACGAGUGCUGGACGGAGGCCCCCACGCUCUGCUGCCCCCAUCACGCCGUUCCGUGAAUGUCACGCAGAAUCUGCAGACAGGAAGGGAGGCACAAGCAGGAGUGCGACAAGUGCCUGCCUCGGCCGUCAGGGAGGACUCCCGGGCUCACUCGAAGGAGGUGCCACAAUUUCAGCUUUGGUAGCUUUUCUUCUUUUACAUUUUCUAAAGCUCAUUAAUUGUCUUUAAUGCUUCUCUUUUUUGAUGACAAUAAAAUAUCCUGUUUAAGUCUUGUA